rnacentral:rRNA from 1 species
UACGGGGGGGGCAAGCGUUGUUCGGAAUUACUGGGCGUAAAGGGCUCGUAGGCGGCCAACUAAGUCAGACGUGAAAUCCCCAGGCUCAACCUGGGAACUGCGUCUGAUACUGGAUGGCUUGAAUCCGGGAGAGGGAUGCAGAAUUCCAGGUGUAGCGGUGAAAUGCGUAGAUAUCAGGAGGAACACCUAUUGCGAAGGCAGCUCGCUGGGACGUAACUGACGCUGAGACGCGAAAGCGUGGGGAGCAAACAGG